AUGUAAAUUGGAAGCUGUGAAAAACUUUCUUAUUUUGGGCACAUUGAGAGUUUAGAGCUAGUUGUGCAACCGACCAAUUAAAUU
rnacentral:ncRNA from 2 species